AAGGAUCAUUAUUGAAAUAAACCUGAUGGGUUGUUGCUGGCUCUCUAGGGAGCAUGUGCACACCUUGUCAUCUUUAUAUCUCCACCUGUGCACCUUUUGUAGACCCUCCAGGUCUAUGUCGAUUCAUUUACCCCAAUGUAUGUCUAUAGAAUGUUGUGGCUAUGAAAUCUAAUACAACUUUCAGCAACGGAUCUCUUGGCUCUC
rnacentral:misc_RNA from 1 species